rnacentral:lncRNA from 1 species
UAAACGAUUUACACAUGCCGAUCUCCCCAAGUCGUCCCCAACACACUCGGUCUGUGGUCCAAACAAUGAAACAACCACACAACUUAGACCUUAUUAGAGAUAGCUUGAUCGAAUUGAGGGCAUGUUUGGAUGCCGUCCUGAGAAUCUCGCUAGUUGAGGUGUCGCUCUCAAAUGUCCUAUCUUGGUUUCCUUCAACCAGAUCGACCUGCUUGAGUGAGAGCACUCAGAUCAUGACAAUAACCAAACAAGCCCUGAGUCUAGGAGGCAUAGGGAAUACAGAUGAUUCAGUAUCCUCAAGAAAGAGUGGAGUGGGAUAAAUAGCUACAACAACAACACGACCUAAUAUUGCCCUUUGUAUGUACCGGUAGUAGUUGAAUGGGCAUAUAUGUAAGUCUAGUUAAAAUGUUAAAGACAAUACGGUUGUUUACCUAUGUGCAUAUAAUAGUGGUGUUGGUUUAUAUAUGUGAGUGUCAUUUUAUAAGUUUUUUAUUCUUCUCUAAAUUGAACCGUUUGUACUGCAGUGAGAAAUGUGUUCCUAUCUGUUUUUUUUUACUUCUGGACACUUGCUAAUUUAGUCAUAUAACUCUUACAUUACACAAAUUAAAGAAGGCAAUAAAAAGGCCCAGUUACUAAAUGGGAUAAGCUCAGAUCAGUCCCAAUCCUUUAUUACUUCAAACGAUAACACAAAAGUAAUUAGCAUUUUUGGCACUUUAUCUCCAUGGACCUAUUGCCGCUUAUUUGGGAUAAUAAUGAAGUCUUCUAUAGUUACUCAAAGAAAAAGAAAUGGGGAUAUGGCGUAAUUGGUUGAUACUAAAGACUUGAUUGUAUUGAGCCCUUUAUCCAUCACCCUCUAUCAAAAUGGUAAAAAGGCAUUUAAAAUAUCUGACUUAAUAAGAAAAAUGCUUACUAACAAAAUGAAAAAUUGUUAUCUAUCUAUGUAUUACAUUAUAAAGAUAACUUGAAAAGGAUCCACGACGUUUGCUUUAGAGGCUACAAAUUACCAUGUCAAUUGGCAAAAAAAGAAAAAGAUCUUGACCGUUAGAUCGUGAUCUAUCUAGAUUAUAGCUAUACAGAUAGAUCGAUAUGGUUAUAUACAAAAUAGUAAUAUAAUCUAAGAGUUGUAUAUAAUAUCAAAACCUUAUAAAAAUAGAGGCUAAGAGUUGAAUAUGAAAGCUAAUCAAUAUGUGAAUAGAAUAUAAGAGUUGUAUAUAAAAUACAAACCUAUAUAAAUAGAAUUUACGAGUUGUAUAUAAAAUCCAAAUAAACUUAUAUAAAUUGACAUACUAGGAAAUAAAUUUUAGUUAUGUAUUAAAUCUAACUCUAAGUGAAUUACCUAGCUCCUGCAAAACUGUGUGGGACAGUCUUCUAGUUAAAAUAAUAGGAGUAACUGUAUUCUGAAACAGAGUAAAAUAGCAUAUUCAGUUCAUGCGUACCAAGCCUGCAUGGCUUCAAGGCAUUUGGGUGUGUUAUGCCU